AGCGAACGCUGGCGGCAGGCUUAACACAUGCAAGUCGAACGGGCGUAGCAAUACGUCAGUGGCAGACGGGUGAGUAACGCGUGGGAACGUACCUUUUGGUUCGGAACAACACAGGGAAACUUGUGCUAAUACCGGAUAAGCCCUUACGGGGAAAGAUUUAUCGCCGAAAGAUCGGCCCGCGUCUGAUUAGCUAGUUGGUGAGGUAAUGGCUCACCAAGGCGACGAUCAGUAGCUGGUCUGAGAGGAUGAUCAGCCACACUGGAACUGAGACACGGUCCAGACUCCUACGGGAGGCAGCAGUGGGGAAUAUUGCGCAAUGGGCGAAAGCCUGACGCAGCAACGCCGCGUGUGUGAUGAAGGCCUCGG
rnacentral:rRNA from 1 species